rnacentral:lncRNA from 1 species
CCGUAACUCACUACUGCAUACAAGUUCAGCAGGAACAUUCCCAAAACCCCCGUAGAAGAAAUUUACGGUUGCUCAACGCUCUGUUACUGGCGGCCACAACUGUGUGCGCUCCACAUGUCUUUGUAAUCACUUAAUGACUCAUUUCCUUAAUCUCUCAUUUCCUAUAGCCUUAUUACAAGCGAUUCAUAAACCCAGAUCCAUAGCUGUUCUCUGGCUGUAGUCAGGAAGCACUGAACUGACUCUGCAUCUGGUUGGUUGGCUGAAGUACCCCUCUCUAUUCCCCUCUGAAACUUUCCACUGGACCCUGUCUUUUGCUGCAGUGACACCUACUGAUGAGGACCCUCCAGAAAAGUGGACCUACCUUGAAGACCUGAGCCCUUCCGAGGAUGGGAGAUGCUACUAA